rnacentral:rRNA from 1 species
GGAUUAGAUACCCUGGUAGUCCACGCCGUAAACGAUGAUUACUCGUUGUUGGCGAUACAUUGUCAGCGACUGAGCGAAAGCAUUAAGUAAUCCACCUGGGGAGUACGUUGGCAACAAUGAAACUCAAAGGAAUUGACGGGGGCCCGCACAAGCGGAGGAACAUGUGGUUUAAUUCGAUGAUACGCGAGGAACCUUACCUGGGCUUAAAUGCAGUAUGACUGUACCCGAAAGGGUAUUUCUCUUCGGAGCAAAUUGCAAGGUGCUGCAUGGCUGUCGUCAGCUCGUGCCG